AUGGUCUCAGGUAAAGUUUUAACCCUGAAAGAGUUCUGGAAGGAAGAUUACUACAUACUUUCCUGUAUGACAUUAAUUGAGAAAUCCUGGGCCAAUGUCUGUCUGAGGAAACGUAGAUCUGCCUGUUCACAGGAUAGAGACUUUGAAGACUGUGUAGAGGAGCUUUCAAUUGACCAACUUGAGUUACAACCAGCCCUUGGAAAUCAAUUGACAGUCUAGCAGCUUUGUAUCUCCCCAUUAAUGGUGAAAUCUUGGAAACAGCCCAGUUGCCCAUCAACAGAUGAAUGAAGAAAAUAUGGUUUUUAUAUACAAUGGAGUACUACACUUAUAAAGAACGAUACACUUGAGACAUUUUAAAGUAAAUGGAUGCACCUCGAGAACAUAAGUGAAAUAAGUUGGACACACAUGUUUAGAUUUUGCGUUGUUUCUGUGGGAUUGUAUGAUUCAAAACUUAUGUAUUCCCUCAGACUUCGUUAUGUCUAAUGGCUAAAAUGUAUUUGCUAGUCUUGAAAUAGUAGAUAAGAUCUGUAACCUCCUAAGCAAAGCAUUCUACCCCUUGUUUGUCCGGAGAACAGAAAAUUCCCGGAACUACUAUCAGUAGAACAGACCGUAACUAAAUCUGCUGAUUAUGGUCAUAGUGUCCUCACUGCGGUUAUGCUGACCAUCAACAUGUGACGAUGAGCCAAACUCUUGUUCCUUUUUUCCCGUAAACCUACAUGUAACCUACCCCUUUCAACCCCCUAUAAAAACAGC
rnacentral:lncRNA from 1 species